AUUUAAUCCUGGUUCGGAAUGAACGCUGGUGGCAUGCUUUAUACAUGCAAGUUGAAUGUUGUUAAAACAUAGCGUACGGGUGAGUAACGUAAAAUAAAUCACCUUGUGGUUUGGGAUAAUUUACUUCGGUAACAAAAUACCAAAUAAUUGCUUAAAAAUAAAAUAAAUUAUAUCGCAAAAAGAUUUAAUCGCCGCAAGAUAUUAUUUUAUAGUAUUAGAAUUUCAAACUAAUUGUUUUAUUUUAUUCAGUUUAUUUGAUUCUAUAAUGCUUAGUGGGCCUUAACGGGUGUACCACCACACUGGAACUGAAACAAGGUCCAGGCUUUUAUAAGACAGCAGUAGGGAAUAUUGGACAAUGGGCGCAAGCUUGAUCCAGCAAUGCCACGUGGGUGAUGAUAAGCAUUUAGCUGUAAAACCCUUUCAGUAAAGAAGAAUAUGACAUUAUUUAUAAAAGAAGCUCCGGCCAAUUCUGUGCCAGCAGCCGCGGUAAGACAGGAGGAGCAAGUGUUAUUCCUAGUAAUUAGGCGUAAAGUGUCCGUAGACUCUUUUAAUAGUUAAACCAAAAAAACCAAGGGCUUAACUCUGGUAGGAAGUUUAAUACGUUUUAAGUUGAGUAUAAUAGAGGGUAGUAGAAUUUUUGGUGUAAGGAUAAAAUCUUUUGAUACCAAAAGGAAUUCCAGUUGCGAAGGCGACUAUCUGGGUUAUUACUGACGUUGAAGGACGAAAGCAUAGGUAUCAAAUGGGAUUAGAGACCCCAGUAGUCUAUGCCGCAAACGAUGGAUGUUAGGUAUUAGGUAUUUAUUUAUUUUGUACUAUAGCUUACGCGUUAAACAUCCCGCCUGAGAAGUACGGUCGCAAGAUUAAAACUCAAAGGAAAUGACGGGGAUUCGGAACAGCGGUGGAUCAUGUGGUUUAAUUCGAUAAUACGCGCUAAACCUUACCAUCCCUUGCAAUUAUUUAACAGGAGUUGCAUGGUUGUCGUCAGCUCGUGUUUUGAAAUGUUAUGGUUAACUCCUUUUAAACGAGCGAAACCCUAUACCUUAGUUGUUCUUUUAUAAAAAAUUAUAAAGUAUAUCUUUAAGGAUACUGCCAGCGAAAGUUGGAGGAAGGGUAGGAUUACGUCAAAUCUUCAUGGCCCUUAUGGGAUGGGCUACACAUGUGAUACAAUGGUAUAACAAAAAGUUGCAAAACGGCAACGUUUAGCAAAUCUUUAAAUAAUAUCAAAGUCCGGAUAGUAAGCUGCAAGUCGCUUACUUGAAGUUGGAAUCGCUAGUAAUCGUAAAUCAGCACGUUACGGUGAAAUUUAAAACGAAUCUUGUACAAACCGCCCGUCAAAUUCGGAAAGUUUGUUUGGUUUGAAGUUUAUAUAAAUUUAUUUAGUUGGUUAAACUUCUAGAUAGUUUAUUAUGCUAUAAUUAAGUAAGCAAUCGGAAUUAAGUCGUAACAAGGUAGCCGUAGGGGAACCUGUGGCUG
rnacentral:rRNA from 1 species